GGUCCGUUGGCCCAAUGGUAAGGCGUCUGACUACGACUUUCAACCAAAGAAGUUAAGUUAAUCAGGAGAUUCUGGGUUCGACCCCCAGGCGGACCU